ensembl:lncRNA
AACAAUGACAAGUAAUUGAUUGACGUAGGUGAGGGGCAGAUUCCAGACUCAGAUUUCCACAAAAAGUAGCCUAGACUAUUUCAUAGCCUAUGUCAACAUUAUUAGCGUUUUUAUUCAUUAUAGUUUUAUUAUAUUAAAAUUCACUUUACAUUCCCAUUAAGUUUUUGUUGGUAAUUAUAGCUCAAAAUGGCCAAAAAAUUUUGGCCAUUUUUCACAAUUACUUGAAAUUCGUAUCAUAACCCACUUACAGCCACUGAGUUAGAAGGACUGACAUGAAAAUUAAACAAGUCAACGGGCAGAAAAACUCCAGCCAAUGAUUUCCAGAACCACAGAGUGGCAUUGGACAGUAAGUAUGUCAAUCAAACGGUCGUACUGCACCCCCCUUCCCCGAGAAGGGUCCAGCUGCAGGCUUGGGCGUUCCCGUCAUGACACAAAAACGCCCAUCGGGCGUUCCCGUCAUGACACAAAAACGCCCAUCAGGCGUUCCUGUAGCGUUUCAUCGAUCAAUCAAGAAGAGGUGAGUGAGUUUCGCAAGGCAUACUGGGUAUGCUACCCUUCCUUUUUUGGCGGUUUUACCUCGUAGUAACUUUCCAGAAAAACGAAAGGGUUAUGAUGAGAGAUUAUGUCAUACCCUGGCACAUGCUUUGUCCAAUGGACCAUGGAAGGGACUUUACUUGGCUGACGAGGACGCACCUCACCAGUAUCAGAGCAACAGCUGUGGGGUGUUUAUGCUGAUGUACGCAAUGUAUUCUACCCUCAAAAGCAAUAUGAUUUCGGUGAGGGGGACAUGCUCUCUAUCAGGAGGUGGUGGUUGGACUGCUGUUGGAGACCUUUAUGCUUGAAAGCCCUGCAGAACUAGCUGGCUCCUUCUCACCCUCUCCAUCUCCCCAUCUCAGUCACACCUUCCAAUCACUAAGCAGUGAAAGCCCUGCAGGACUAGCUGGCACACCAAGCUCACCCUCUCCAUCUCCCCAUCUCAGCCACACGCUCCAAUCUGGCACAACAGAGGACAGGCCAUUCUUACCACCCGAAGUCCUUCAGCAAAUUGUACAAGAGACGCUGAGACUGGACAUGGCGAUGCUUGGCGUGUUCAACAGGGUUUCAAACACAUUCCGAGAACUAAUCAAGCCUCUCCAUCCUUCAAUAUAUAAAUGACAGUUUGGCAGGGGACAUUAAGCUUAAUAAAGAC